CCUACGGGUGGCUGCAGUGAGGAAUAUUGGUCAAUGGGCGUAAGCCUGAACCAGCCAAGUCGCGUGAGGGAUGAAGGUUCUAUGGAUCGUAAACCUCUUUUAUAAGGGAAUAAAGUGUGGGACGUGUCCUAUUUUGCAUGUACCUUAUGAAUCAGGAUCGGCUAACUCCGUGCCAGCAGCCGCGGUAAUACGGAGGAUCCGAGCGUCAUCCGGAUUUAGUGGGUUUAACGGGUGCGUAGGCGGCCUUUUAAGUCAGCGGUGAAAGUCUGUGGCUCAACCAUAGAAUUGCCGUUGAAACUGGGGGGCUUGAGUAUGUUUGAGGCAGGCGGAAUGCGUGGUGUAGCGGUGAAAUGCUUAGAUAUCACGCAGAACCCCGGUGGCGAAGGCAGCCUGCCAGGCCAUGACUGACGCUGAUGCACGAAAGCGUGGGGAUCAAACAGGAUUAGAUACCCGAGUAGUC
rnacentral:rRNA from 1 species